GAGUUUGAUCAUGGCUCAGAACGAACGCUGGCGGCAUGCCUAACACAUGCAAGUCGAACGAGACCUUCGGGUCUAGUGGCGCACGGGUGCGUAACGCGUGGGAAUCUGCCCUUGGGUUCGGAAUAACAGUUAGAAAUGACUGCUAAUACCGGAUGAUGACUUCGGUCCAAAGAUUUAUCGCCCAGGGAUGAGCCCGCGUCGGAUUAGCUAGUUGGUGAGGUAAAGGCUCACCAAGGCGACGAUCCGUAGCUGGUCUGAGAGGAUGAUCAGCCACACUGGGACUGAGACACGGCCCAGACUCCUACGGGAGGCAGCAGUGGGGAAUAUUGGACAAUGGGCGAAAGCCUGAUCCAGCAAUGCCGCGUGAGUGAUGAAGGCCUUAGGGUUGUAAAGCUCUUUUACCCGGGAUGAUAAUGACAGUACCGGGAGAAUAAG
rnacentral:rRNA from 1 species